AAGACUUAGACACACACAAUAAUCCUAAUAACAUAUGAAGACAUAUGUAUAUAUAUAAUUAGUGAUUAUAACACUAAUUAGACAUGUAUAAACAUCCUAAUGUGAGGAAAACACUUUGGUCAAAGUGUUAGGAGGCCAUUGGGUUGCAACAAAGGAGUGCAAGGCCUUAUAACGGAGUUUAUGGUCCAUAGACCAUACCUUUUGGAGUUUACGGCCCAGAGGAGUUUACUCCUGGCCCUAAACUCUCAUUUGGAUCACCAAAUGAAGCUUAAAACUAUUAUGACUUGAUUGGUUAAGUGUUCCAAGGCUUAAACAAGAGGUUAGGUGGGUUUAAGGUCCAAGAAUGGCCUUGUAUGGAGUUUGCGGCCCGGGGACCACUUCCCCCAUGACUUUAUGGCCGUAAACUCAUGGUAUGAAGUACCAAUUCGUGUAUUGAAGUCCCUAGUUCAAUGGUGUAAGGUUCUAUGCUAAGUUCCAAGGCUUACUAAGGUGUUAGGUGUCAUUUGCACCCUUAAAAGGGGUUUACGGCCCAAGAACAUGUCUUGGCCGUAAACUCCUUGAAUCAUGUGUUUCCUUAUGUUUUCUACGCCUAAACAUGUUAAACCUAGUGUAAAAUGAGUUGGAACAAGAGUACUUAUGAUCUAGGAGCUUGAAUGGUCGUUUUUGGCCAAGAACACUAGUGUGUGUUCUUGGUGAAACUCGAAGAUCUACAAAAUGGAAUGAUUUCACGGAUGAAAUCAUGUAAGAUUACUAGUUCAUGCAAGAUAUCAACUAGUUAGGACAAUAAACUUACGACAUUUGAAGAUCAGGGACGAAGAUCGGGAUGAUAGUUGAGAGGAUUUGGGCCAAGAGGAUGGAAGGAAUGAACAAAAUGGCCAAGACUUCACCUUAUAGGAGGAGUUUACGGCCCACAUGGAGUUUAGGGACAUAGACUCCCAUGUGGUGGCUGUGAACUCCUGGUCAAGGUGUUCCAGACUUGUUCUUUGAGCUAUAGAUUCAACAGAUAAAACCCGACACUUAUUCCUUAAGUGUACAAGGCUCAGAAUGCUCAAAUAAACUCCUAAUUGUUCUAAAAGAUAACAACAAUGAGUUUGAAUUUUAUUGAAGUGUUAGACUGAACUGGAUGGAAAGUUUUGGGUUGUCAGAUCACCCCCCCGUUAGAGGGAAUUUCAUCCUAAAAUUACAAUUUAGGUAAAGGAGUAGGCAUGAAUAAUCGAGCAAGGAGGUGGGGAUACUUCCUAAUUGAUUGGUUCUCGCGUUCACAAGUGAAUUCGGGUCCUCGGUUGGCAUUUCAGUGAACCUUCACUAAUGGGAUGCAGCGUUGCUUCUCUCACUUGACUUCUCGGUCCAUGGUCACUGAGGUUCUUCCGCGAAGUCGAGGCUCUUGUUGAUCACGAUCACGUCGAGUGGGAUUAAAAGAGUCCUGACGGAAAGGUACUUUUUCAAGUUCGAGAUGUGGAGGGUACAAUGUACGUUACUGAGUUCGCGAGUAAGUUGAAUUUGGAAGUUACAGGGUCGAUUCUGGCAAGAAUCUCGAAGGUCCUAACUAUCUUGGAUUUAGCUUUCCAUGCUUUUCGAAGCGUAUCAAGCCUUCCCAGGGUGAGACUUCCAAAAGAAUUUGGUCUCUCACUUGGAAUUCCAAUGGUUUCUUCCUCUUGCUUGUCUUCCCAGUCAAGGGUCGCUCCCUUCUGGGUUAAAGUCAUAAGAGGUUCCGUAAUUCGUGAGGAGUUCUAAAUGAACUACGACAGUUGGUCGGCGAGACCUAGAAUUUGGCGAAUUUCCGUCGGCGUCUUUGGUGCUAAAAAUUUGUCAACGGUUUUGAUUUUUGGAAGGGUCCUUAAGAAUUCCCACAUCACUAAUAGUGUGUCUUAGGAAUUUGACUCUUCAAUUCCAAAACUCGUAUUUAGAGAACUACGCGUAAAGCUUAUCUGAUCGUAUUGUUUCCAUUGUUUGUUGUAAAUGCUCUUCAUGAUUUCCUUCUUACUACGAGAGUAGAUAAGUAAGUCAUUUACAAGGCCAAUGACGAACUGAUCCAAGUAAGAAUGGCACACCCUAUUCAUUAAGUUUAUGAAUACUACGGGUGUAUUGGUCCUAUCCGAGGGGUAUCACUACGAACUUGUAGUGUCCGUAUCGAGUUUGGAAGAUUGUCCUCGGAACAUCCUUCUCUAAAACUCGCAACUGGUGAUAUUUGGAUCUCAGACCCAUUUCUGAAAGGUAAAUAGUUCCUUGCAGUUUGUCAACCAAUUCUUCAUGCGAGGUAGAGGGUAAUAAUUUCUAAUGGAAAUAUGUUCAAGGUCUCCGAUAAUCGAUGCUUCUACGAAGCAUUCCUCCUAUCUUCUUGAAGAAUCAGAUUGGAGCUCUCCGGGGUGAGAAGCUUGAUCUUUCCAUUCCAUUGCUGAGUAGUCGUUAAGCUGUCCGGACAGUUCCUGUAUCUUCGUGGGUGUUAGACUGUAGGGCGAUCUGGUUACAUGCGUCGUAUUGGGCUCUAAGUUUGUUCGCAUGACGAUGCGAUUACUCGUAGUCUUGGGCAGUCUCCGUCCUGAAGUUCAUACUAGAAGUCAUAGAUGGUUCAUCAAUCACAGUCUCGUGUAUACGAGUCGUAUAUAAUUAAGAUUGAAAAGGUAGUCGAAUAAAUGAUUCUUCUUUAAGCUCACAUCCCAACGAGGAAAAGAAGUUAAAGUGGAAUCACCAAUUCUAAACCUGUAGAACCUUGAUUAUAUACCACCCCUGUGUAUACAUUCUUUAGCGAUAGAUCAACCGUAAAGGUCCUUGGUUUGAACUUGACGUACUGUACGAGUGGUACUCUAGGGAGGUUUGCUAAGGUUUCUUCAGAAAAGAUAAGAAACAUGAGGUACUCUAUGCAUAAGUACUUCGGAGUUCUGAAUUGUCGGCUUCGCUAGAAAGGCGUUUUCGGAGAAAGAGAUGUGCGCAUGAAACUGGUAUUGUGAGGAUUGAAUUGAAUCAAGUCGUAAGAUAAUGUCGGAUUUACUUGGAAGUAAAGACAUUAGAUUUGAACAUAAAGGCAUUACAGACAAAACACAACAGUGCAACCUUUAACAGAGUUACAAUACUUUAGAUUUACUACAAGACUAUUGCUGCGAACAAGGUAUACUACAAAUGACAAGUAUACGUAGCACGAGGGUCCCUUAACUGACGGGAUAUCGCAAAAGAUAAGACUCGAGUUGCACUAGUUUUAAACAGUUUAAGAGUCUGUUACAACGAACGCCUUAGAUAAUUUAACGUGGGUCCGGAGUAGUUUCUCCUGCGGAAGUGAUCCUUAGCAUCUUCCCGUCGGCGCCGGAGUUCUUUGUUAUUGGACAAUCCUUCUUGAAGUGCCCAAUCUCAUCGCAUUGGUGACAUAUCUGGCUGGUACUAGCAUUGGUGGUGGAAGUGAAGUGUCGAGUCGGAAUUAUGUGGACGUGGGUGCUUUCGUUGUUCUUUCCUUUUGGACAAUUCCUGUGAUAGUGUCCUGUCUCACCACAGCUAUAACAAGCCUGGCUGGCUUCGGUGGUGGAAGUGGUUCUACAGAAACGAGCAAUGUUCCCCAUCUUAUUGCAAUUGUUGCAUUGCAAUACUCGGCAAGCUCCAUUAUGAUGAUAGUUACACUUGUUACACUUCGGGAGUGUUCCCUCAUAACGCUUGACCGGUGCUGAGGUGGCAGGAGUCGCCACUGGUUGUUGUCGCAUGGCAAGCCUUUUCAAUCGCUUGCGUUCUGUUUGGGCUUGACGCUUCCGUUUCUUGAACUCUGAGUUGUUGUUUUGGGUGUUGGUGACUGUUACUAUUUGUUGAUUUCUCGGAUCGUUACCACGAUCGGAAUUUUCAACUCCUUUGUCAGUCUUGUUUGUGUUGCCAGAGCCGAGGUGUGCAAGGAAAGCUGACACGGCAGCUGUUACUGCGGCUUGGAAUGUAGCGGCGUUGAUAGGAAAGAUGGGGGUUUCGUUGUUCGGCUGACUAUUUCCGGAUGAUGACAUGAUUCUGUAACACGAAAGAUAAGGAGUUCGUGAGCGAUUAAGGUUGGCCCUAGAUAUAUUUCGAUCGUUCAUGUAAAGAGUAGAAGUAUGUUCUCGAGGGUUUGACCUACGUCCCUAUGAUGCACUCCUAGUACAGAGUAGAAGUAAGUUCAUAGAAUGAUCUCAAGACGUGUGACGUCCAAACCAGGGUACUAUCGGUUGGUAAAUAACAUGAUCCAACCUUUCAAAGAGAAUUGUGAAUGAUCCCUGAGCUAAAUUUCUCUAGUCCAAUAACUAGACUAGAGUGGGUUUCAGGUAAACCCCAACGAAAGUAUGAUGAAAGUAUUUGAACAAUGAGUGACACAGAAGUUAGCCGACUUUCAAUAUCCAUAUUCAUGACGUAACAAGUUGGGGAAAAUUGACCUUGUAGAAGGUCUUACAUCAUAUCCGGAGUAGAAAGGUUUUGGCCGUAUAAGGGCCUAACUAAAAGCACUUACAAUACAAGAUAGUUACAUAUAGGACACAGACAUGAAAACGAUUCUUUAAAACAAAGAAGGAAAGUAAAGUAUCUCCUACUGGCGACGGUCACCCCUAUGGUGAACUCUUAGUUCAGCCAGUUGACGUUCCAUGUCAAGCAGGUAUCUUUCGUAUACCCUCUGACGUACUCGGAGCUCUAUGACUUCGGCUCGGGUUUCAGCUAGUGCUUGUAGCAGGGUCUCAUGGUCUCUCUCAGAUCUAUCAUGAAUGUGUUCAAGGUGAUUGGUGCGAAUGGUAUGCAUUCCUGCAUUGGCAUCAACCUCUGCGAUACGAUGAAGAGCUGUCCUGCCCUGAAUCUCAUUUCGGGCAACUCUACGGACUAAGAUUGGCAGAACUUUGUCUGCUGAGGUUCUUUCGCUUAAGUUGUAGAAGCUUUGGUCUCCAUUAAACGACAUAGGUUGAUAUUGCUCUUCGCUCCAUGUCUCCAAACUUUCUACCCAAGGGGGCGUCGGGCCUUGAAAAGCCGGACAAGUGUUAGGAUUUGGAAUGGGAGUUACCGGGGGUAGGUUCUCAACUUCGGGUUCGGAGUUAGCAUCAUCCGUAAGUUCUUCAGCAUGGUGAUCAUUCAAAGGGAUUGGAUGAUCAUCCUCUGGUUCUUCUCCAAACCAUCCAGCAUUGCCUUUGUUCGGAAGGUAUGGGUCGCCAAGGGGAUGGAGUCCAGCCAUGUUAUCUAUGCGAGAAUUUGGGGUAAAGAAAUAAUUAUUAGACGAACUAACUAGAUAAUUAUAAGAUAAUCUUCCUUGGUUACAUCAUUAUUUGUAAAGUGCAUACCAAUUAUAUGUAAUCAAAACAGGAUAGGCCUUCAGAUAAGUGACCUUAACUCCAAAUUCACAAGGAAUUGGGGUGAAGCAAAAUUUCACAGAUUCUAAGUCUAUAUCAUCCUAGUUACAUAUAACCUUAAUGUAUCCACUUAGCAACUAUUGACCUAGAAAUGAAGAUCUUUUUAGUUCUCAACUAAGAAUUUAUAGUAACACAAAAUACUCAUAUAGUAUUUUAGACUUAUGUUCUGUUCUAGAGUUCUCAUUGUGGUAGUGUUGGUAAGUUUUUAGACUUGUUGCCAAAUCACAACCAUUCUUGGGCAUAUGCUAAUCACUCCUCGGACCAGCAUAGUUGAUUAGGCUAUGCCACUCCCAGGACUGACCAUACAUCCCCGAGCUUACCUGUGAUAUUCAACAAUCGUAAUACUUUUGUUCUUAUCAUUGUGACACGGAUUUUAGUAUGAAUGCAGGCACGUAUAUUUAGUUAAAUAUUUCAUUAUUUAAAAGUAUAAAAUCUUGGUCAAAGUAUUUUUAAUCCCAUUGUAUUUAUAGUUUGUAUAUCUUUUAUGGGUUGAUAUACUUAAUUCACUAUAAACAGUGCUUUGAUACCAAUCUGUCACACCCCAAACCGAGAACGACGGAAACGUUCUGGGGCGGAGGACGUCAUGUAAUGUAUCACAACAAUGUAAAGUAAUAAACAAGCAACAAAAUCAUCCAUUUCUUUAAUAUUAUAAUUUUAAAUAUAUGUGUGUUCUUUCAUAUCAUAAACAACAUAAUGAAUGUUCAAAAUAAAAGACGAGUCUCGACUGCUACGUCUUCACAAAACCUGGUUGUCGUACCUGUCUAUUUGUGACCUGAGAAUACAAGUUAUUUUGAAAGCGAGUAUCAGCCAAAAAGCUGGUGAAUUCAAAAGUAUUUAUGUGUCUUUGUCUUGUAAAAAUUGUAAAGUAAAGACUUGUAAACAUUUGGAGAAAAGUUUGUAUAAGUGUGAAAAUGUUUGUAAUUAAUUGCAAACGUUUGAAAACCCUAGAAAAUUCCCAUAUUUCCUACUAGUAUAAAAAGUAAUCUUCUACCAAGACCUGACUGUUUUGAAAGUAGUCUUCUACCAAGACCCGACUGUUUUGAAAGUAGCCUUCUACCAAGACCCGACUGUUUUGAAAGUAGCCUUCUACCAAGACCCGAAUGUAUGACUAUUAUUAUUAUUAUUAUUAUCUAAUCUACCUCAUGAUUAUGUGAAUAUUACACAUAGUAAAGGUAUUAAUAAUAUAUUAACUGGAGUUUUAUAUCCUUAUGUAAUUGUCGUAUAUACAGUGUAAGUACUGUAGUAUUUGUAAUAAGUGACUACUUUUGUACUAUUUUGCCUUAAUUGAGGUUUAAGGGAUAAUGUGAUGGCUAGAUCCCAUGCUAAAUGCUCCCCUGUCAAGAGAUUUUGGGAACCAAACGCGACCCCUGCAAUGAUUGCAAGCCGCAAACAUCCACAUUACUAUGAUCGUGUAUACCCAAUAUAACUAUAACAAUGCAUUAGUGAUUCAUUGGUAUAGUUAGAUCCUAAAAUUGUUCCAUGCUAUAGCACCUUGUUAUGUAUGUUUUGUUAUCGUGUAUUGUAAUCGUAUUUAUGUAAGCGUAUUCAUGUAAGCAUAUUCAGGUAAGCGUAUCUAUGUAAACAUAUUCAUGUAAGCGUAUUCAUGUAAGCGUAUCUAUGUAAACGUAUUCAUGUAAGCGUAUUCAUGUAACAUGUAAUGUAUUAGUAUAGACUCAUGAAUGAACUGACUCUUGUGUGAUUCCUUGUACUUGGAUUGGUAAGUAGUAUCUCCUAACUAUGCCUAUUAUAGUUACUAGUAAUGUACGUGUAUAAACGAAGUAUGCCUUUGCUACCCAAAGGUACUGAACUGACUAAUGGAACUUUUAUGUCUAUAUAUGUAUACAUGAUAUAUAACUAAUAUUUGGACGACAUUUGGAUGAAUAACCGAUACCCUAAAGCCACAUCCAAACGAGGAAAAGGAAAUAAAGUGAGCUAGCCUUCCUAAGUCCUUUAAACAUUACUUAUAUAAAUAUACAUAUGUGGGUAUGCAUUUGGUAAUAUAAAAGCAUAAAAGAAGUUUUUUAAAACCUUCGAAAAGUUUAAUACAAAAAAACGAUGACUUGAUGUCAGUUUGUAAAACGAUUUGAAAGUAUUUUGUUUGAUAAGACAGUUUAAGUAUAAGGAAAAACCUUUGUUUAAAACACAGUUGUAACAGAGUUUAAAAGGAAACAUACAGUAUGUAAGACAGUUUAAUAAAGAGUUUUAAACAUAUAAAAACGUUUAAGAAGGUCAUUUGAAGAGAUCUGUUUGGUAGAACAGUUAACGUAUCGUAAAUCCAUUUGCAUGCGAGUUAUUAAUCACAUGCGAUUGAUGUAACAACUAGCAUGAUUCAGCUUGUAUCCCCCAUAAAGCAUUUAUAAACAUUUAGAAAUAUUUAAAAGGUUAAUUAAGGGGUAUGAACUCACCUGCAGUGAGUGGAUCGGAUGGAAGUGUCGGACAAGUGCUUGGUGUUAAGUGAAGACUUAGACACACACAAUAAUCCUAAUAACAUAUGAAGACAUAUGUAUAUAUAUAAUUAGUGAUUAUAACACUAAUUAGACAUGUAUAAACAUCCUAAUGUGAGGAAAACACUUUGGUCAAAGUGUUAGGAGGCCAUUGGGUUGCAACAAAGGAGUGCAAGGCCUUAUAACAGAGUUUAUGGUCCAUAGACCAUACCUUUUGGAGUUUACGGCCCAUAGGAGUUUACUCCUGGACCUAAACUCUCAUUUGGAUCACCAAAUGAAGCUUAAAACUAUUAU
rnacentral:lncRNA from 1 species